GCGUGUUCUGCUGCAUUCCCCACAAUUGGUAGCAAGAUUAUGCUAAUGAAGCUGACAGAAAUGCCCCAAGAAUCUGAUGCAGCCUCAAUUGUGCCCACAACAUACUCAGAUAAUAAUGCUAUGAUAACUGUCAUGCCAACCAACCAAGAAAAUGCACUCCAAAAUCCUAUCACUGCUUUUUCUUCUUCNNNNNNNNNNNNCUGAGAUUCAAAAAAUUGUCUGUGAGUUUUAAGCUGGAAGAAGAUAUAAGCAACAUAUGC
rnacentral:misc_RNA from 1 species